rnacentral:rRNA from 1 species
CCUACGGGUGGCAGCAGUAGGGAAUAUUCGGCAAUGGGGGGAACCCUGACCGAGCAACGCCGCGUGAAGGAAGAAGGUAUUCGGAAUGGAAAGUUCUUUUAACAGGGAAGAAAGAGAAAGUAGACGGGAGCUGAAGAAUAAGCUCCGGCGAAAAACGUGCCAGCUGCCGCGGGAAUACGUAGGGUGCGAGCGGUAUCCGGAUUGAUUGGGCGGAAAGGGUGCGGAGACUGCAUAGUAAGUCGUGUGUAAAAAUGCUGGGCUCAACCCAGUCGGGCAAAAGAUACUGCUAUGCUAGAGUAUGCCAGAGGCAAGUGGAACUCCUUGUGUAGCGGUGAAAUGCUUACAUAUCUGUCAGAACUCCAGUGGCGAUGGCGGCUUGCUGGGUCGCUACUGACAUUGAGGCACGAAAGCGUGGGUAUCAAACAGGAUUAGAUACCCGGGUAGUC